AGAGUUUGAUCCUGGCUCAGGAUGAACGCUAGCUACAGGCUUAACACAUGCAAGUCGAGGGGAAACGACAUCGAAAGCUUGCUUUGAUGGGCGUCGACCGGCGCACGGGUGAGUAACGCGUAUCCAACCUGCCCACCACUUGGGGAUAACCUUGCGAAAGUAAGACUAAUACCCAAUGAUAUCUCUAGAAGACAUCUGAAAGAGAUUAAAGAUUUAUCGGUAGUAUGGAUGGGGAGUGCGUCUGAUUAGCUUGUUGGCGGGGUAACGGCCCACCAAGGCGACGAUCAGUAGGGGUUCUGAGAGGAAGGUCCCCCACAUUGGAACUGAGACACGGUCCAAACUCCUACGGGAGGCAGCA
rnacentral:rRNA from 1 species